GAUGAACGCUGGCGGCGUGCCUAAUACAUGCAAGUAGAACGCUGAAGGAAGGAGCUUGCUCUUUCCGGAUGAGUUGCGAACGGGUGAGUAACGCGUAGGUAACCUGCCUGGUAGCGGGGGAUAACUAUUGGAAACGAUAGCUAAUACCGCAUAACAGUAGAUGUUGCAUGACAACUAUUUGAAAGGGGCAAUUGCUCCACUACCAGAUGGACCUGCGUUGUAUUAGCUAGUUGGUGAGGUAACGGCUCACCAAGGCGACGAUACAUAGCCGACCUGAGAGGGUGAUCGGCCACACUGGGACUGAGACACGGCCCAGACUCCUACGGGAGGCAGCAGUAGGGAAACUUCGGCAAUGGACGGAAGUCUGACCGAGCAACGCCGCGUGAGUGAAGAAGGUUUUCGGAUCGUAAAGCUCUGUUGUAAGAGAAGAACGAGUGUGAGAGUGGAAAGUUCACACUGUGACGGUAUCUUACCAGAAAGGGACGGCUAACUACGUG
rnacentral:rRNA from 1 species